CAUGCCGCAGCUUACCUGCAAGUCGAACGAAGUUGCUCUUUGGGAAGCCCUCGGGUGGAACUGUGAGUAUACUUAGUGGCGGACGGGUGAGUAACGCGUGAGCAAUCUGCCCUGCAAUGGGGGACAACAGUUGGAAACGACUGCUAAUACCGCAUAAGACCACGAAACCGCAUGGUUUAGAGGUAAAAGGAUUCAUUCGAUGCAGGAUGAGCUCGCGUCCCAUUAGAUAGUUGGUGAGGUAACGGCCCACCAAGUCAACGAUGGGUAGCCGACCUGAGAGGGUGAUCGGCCACAUUGGAACUGAGAAACGGUCCAAACUCCUACGGGAGGCAGCAGUGGGGAAUAUUGGGCAAUGGGGGAAACCCUGACCCAGCAACGCCGCGUGAAGGAAGAAGGCCUUCGGGUUGUAAACUUUUGUCCUAUGGGACGAAAAAAAUGACGGUACCAUAGGAGGAAGCUCCGGCUAACUACGUGCCAGCAGCCGCGGUAAUACGUAGGGAGCAAGCGUUGUCCGGAAUUACUGGGCGUAAAGGGUGCGUAGGUGGCCAUGUAAGUCAGGUGUGAAAGACCGGGGCUCAACCCCGGGGUUGCACUUGAAACUGUGUGGCUUGAGUACAGGAGAGGGAAGUGGAAUUCCUAGUGUAGCGGUGAAAUGCGUAGAUAUUAGGAGGAACACCAGUGGCGAAGGCGACUUUCUGGACUGUAACUGACACUGAGGCACGAAAGCGUGGGGAGCAAACAGGAUUAGAUACCCUGGUAGUCCACGCCGUAAACGAUGGAUACUAUGUGUGGGGGGGCGAUAGUCCUCCGUGCCGAAGCU
rnacentral:rRNA from 1 species